rnacentral:rRNA from 1 species
UACGGAAGGGGCAAGCGUUGUUCGGAAUCAUUGGGCGUAAAGGGCGCGUAGGUGGUUCUGUAUGUCUACCGUGAAAGCAUACAGCUCAACUGUAUUUUGUCGGUAGAAACUGCAGGACUUGAGGCUGGGAGGGGCUGGUGGAAUUCCCUGUGUAGCGGUGAAAUGCGUAGAGAUGGGGGAGAACACUCGUGGCGAAGACGGCCAGCUAGACCAGUUCUGACACUGAGGCGCGACAGCGUGGGGAGCAAACAGG